rnacentral:rRNA from 1 species
AUUGAACGCUGGCGGCAUGCCUUACACAUGCAAGUCGAACGGCAGCACGGGAGCAAUCCUGGUGGCGAGUGGCGAACGGGUGAGUAAUAUAUCGGAACGUGCCCAGUCGUGGGGGAUAACGCAGCGAAAGCUGUGCUAAUACCGCAUACGAUCUCUGGAUGAAAGCGGGGGACUCGCAAGAGCCUCGCGCGAUUGGAGCGGCCGAUAUCAGAUUAGCUAGUUGGUGGGGUAAAAGCCCACCAAGGCGACGAUCUGUAGCUGGUCUGAGAGGACGACCAGCCACACUGGAACUGAGACACUGUCCAGACUCCUACGGGAGGCAGCAGUGGGGAAUUUUGGACAAUGGGCGCAAGCCUGAUCCAGCAAUGCCGCGUGCAGGAUGAAGGCCUUCGGGUUGUAAACUGCUUUUGUACGGAACGAAACGGUCCCCUCUAAUACAAGGGGCUAAUGACGGUACCGUAAGAAUAAGCACCGGCUAACUACGUGCCAGCAGCCGCGGUAAUACGUAGGGUGCGAGCGUUAAUCGGAAUUACUGGGCGUAAAGCGUGCGCAGGCGGUUAUAUAAGACAGAUGUGAAAUCCCCGGGCUCAACCUGGGACCUGCAUUUGUGACUGUAUAGCUAGAGUACGGUAGAGGGGGAUGGAAUUCCGCGUGUAGCAGUGAAAUGCGUAGAUAUGCGGAGGAAUACCGAUGGCGAAGGCAGCCCCCUGGGAUGAUACUGACGCUCAUGCACGAAAGCGUGGGGAGCAAACAGGAUUAGAUACCCUGGUAGUCCACGCCCUAAACGAUGUCAAUUAGCUGUUGGGGGUUUGAAUCCUUGGUAGCGAAGCUAACGCGUGAAAUUGACCGCCUGGGGGAGUACGGCCGCAAGGUUA